ACUGCUCAGUAACACGUGGACAAUCUAACCUACGGAGGGGGAUAACCCCGGGAAACUGGGGAUAAUACCCCAUAGACUAUGGAUGCUGGAAUGCUUUGUAGUCGAAAGGUCCGCCGCCGUAGGAUGGGUCUGCGGCCGAUUAGGUUGUUGUUGGGGUAACGGCCCAACAAGCCUGUAAUCGGUACGGGUUGUGGGAGCAAGAGCCCGGAGAUGGAUUCUGAGACACGAAUCCAGGCCCUACGGGGCGCAGCAGGCGCGAAAACUUUACAAUGCGGGAAACCGUGAUAGGGGAACUCUGAGUGCCCGUUAAAUCGGGCUGUCCAUCAGUUUAAAUAACUGGUGAAGAAAGGGCCGGGCAAGACCGGUGCCAGCCGCCGCGGUAAUACCGGCGGCUCGAGUGGUGGCCACUAUUACUGGGCUUAAAGCGUUCGUAGCUGGUUUGUUAAGUCUCUGGGGAAAUCUUCCGGCUUAACCGGAAGGCGUCUCAGGGAUACUGGCAGACUAGGGACCGGGAGAGGUGAGGGGUACUCCAGGGGUAGGAGUGAAAUCCUGUAAUCCUUGGGGGACCACCUGUGGCGAAGGCGCCUCACCAGAACGGCUCCGACAGUGAGGGACGAAAGCUGGGGGAGCAAACCGGAUUAGAUACCCGGGUAGUCCCAGCUGUAAACGAUGCGCGUUAGGUGUAUCGAUGACCACGAGUCAUCGAGGUGCCGAAGAGAAAUCGUGAAACGUGCCGCCUGGGAAGUACGGUCGCAAGGCUGAAACUUAAAGGAAUUGGCGGGGGAGCAC
rnacentral:rRNA from 1 species